rnacentral:siRNA from 1 species
AGGGGUGUCGAGUAUACUCUUGA